AUGCAGUCACCUCCGUAUAAAAGGAUCCACUUCGACUCGAGAUUCAAACCAAGAAACAUCAGUUGAUCUGUGUGUUCCAUCUCUUUCCUACAGUCUGCAAAAUAAAAUGAUGAAUGUCUUGUCAAUUUUCCUGCUCAUGGCUGCCGUGUCUAUGACCACCGUGUCCGCUCGAUUCUGGCAGGUAGGCGACAACGGUUUGUCUCGCUGGGACUACAAUUGCCAUUUUGUUGGCAAUGUCAUCGACAACAAGCCCAGCUCUGGCGAGCAAUGCGGUGGCAUCUGCAUCGCCAACGCUCAAUGCACCCACUUUACUCACGCUGGCGGUUACUGUUACCUGAAGAGAUACACCGGUGCUUGGAGAGAAACCGAUGAAACUGCAAACACUUGCGGUUUCAUCCCCGGCCGUAGCACGCAGAACGAACGAAAAUGAACGCAAUCGUCACGAAUUUCGGCUACGACAAACGACUGAAAAAAAGGAAAUUAUAAUACCGUUUAAAAUAUUUGAUCAAUAGCUGAAAAUAAAGCAUCUUCUGCAUGACAUUGGCAAAUACAUUCUGGUUAGCUCAA